GCCAUAAAGCUUUAAAGCUUUUAUUAAUUAUUAGUUAUAUGCAAUAAGUAACAAUACUUUUAAAAGGCAUGUCAUUUUUAUUCUAUGCCUUGUUGGUAAGAAGGUAAGCAUCAACGGCCUUGUUGUAGUUAGCUAGAAACUCCAUGUACUUGUGAGGAGGUGGGAUGUCCUCGUUUUUUUUCUCAUAUUCUAUACUCCAUUUUGCCAAGCUGCCUGGACCGAUUGUUGUGACCUGAACGAUUGGCUUGUAAGUCUUGUAGUGUUUCAUGAUCUCUCCUUCCAAUAUGUUGAAGGUGAUAGUCCUGCUUUGCUCAUCUAUGGAUUCCACCUUCUCCUUAACUGUCUCACAAUUCCCAGCAACAUAAGUCCACAGCCUGACUGAGCCCACAGAGUCCCAAUCGCCUUGAAGAGCUUGAAUGUCCUUUACAUAAUCAGGGCAGAUCUUGGGUAUGAGAUACGCUUUGCUUCUUAAAAUCUCAUAAAACUUAGCAGCAGAGGAUUUAAUCUCUGUUUGGACUUCCAGCUUUUCGAUUUGAGCCAUUUGAUGAUAUGAAGCAAGCAACGACUGCAGUGACAAUGUCUAGGCCAUAGCCUCAGUAUAUAGAGAACGAAAGGGAAUCACAUGACCUGUAUUGCAGGACCAGCUCCAAAAAGUGAAAGAAUUCCAUCAGUAACGUGAUCAGCUCAAUAGACGAUAGAGAAAUCAGAUUCUUGAAUUUGUCAAGAAUAUAUGUCAAUAGUUGUCUUCAAAUUUAGAAGUGCUAAGAUUCUUUUGUUAUCUUUACGCUAAAAAAGGAAAAAUUAAGGAAACGAAGUGUUAGAAAAAUAGUGGAUCAGAUUCUUGACAGGUCCACCAAGAAAAGAUGGAUAUCAAAUCUUUUUCCACUAGGGAAGAGAAUAUUUUGAUAGGCAAUUCGGAGGUGCUGAUUUUGAUCUAGAUUAGCCUCGAAUAUUCAAAGAAAAUAAAAAUGAUUGAACUGACCUGAUAUUCUCCAUCUUUGUUUAUUUUUCUACUGUUUUGGAUAAAAAUUUGGGUGCAAGUGAUGUAGAUAUACUUCCUGUAAAGAUGGAAGGAGCACAAGCAAUAGCUUGAUAGGAUAACACAGAAUAAACUUUUAAAACCUGCAAAAGAGCAAUAGGAAGAAAGAGGAGAGAAGGAAGACAGCAACAGCAGACAUGUCUUGCAUCUGCAGCACAGCUUUUCAAAAAACAAGACUACAAAAUAUACAAGAAAAUGAAAUAAAGAAAAGCACCAGAGGCCAACCAAAAGUCCAAAACUUCCAAAUUGAGUCGAGUACGCUAAAAUUCAGAUAUCAGACUGCAGUCUUUGUUUAAAAAGUUUUGUUUUGUUCACAACUCAAGGUCAGCAAAUAGAAUUGCAGAUAGCUUGACAUUUGAAAGAACAAACAAGCUGUGAGUCGAUUUGG
rnacentral:misc_RNA from 1 species